rnacentral:rRNA from 1 species
CCUACGGGAGGCAGCAGUGAGGAAUAUUGGUCAAUGGACGAGAGUCUGAACCAGCCAAGCCGCGUGAAGGAAGACUGCCCUAUGGGUUGUAAACUUCUUUUGUAAAGGAAUAAAGUCAGGCACGUGUGCCUUUUUGUAUGUACUUUAUGAAUAAGGAUCGGCUAACUCCGUGCCAGCAGCCGCGGUAAUACGGAGGAUCCGAGCGUUAUCCGGAUUUAUUGGGUUUAAAGGGAGCGUAGGUGGGUGGUUAAGUCAGUUGUGAAAGGCAGAGGCUCAACCGCAAAAUUGCAAUUGAUACUGGCAGCCUGGAGUAGAGUUGAGGUAGGCGGAAUGCGUGGUGUAGCGGUGAAAUGCUUAGAUAUCACGCAGAACACCGAUUGCGAAGGCAGCUUACCAAACUGCCACUGACAUUGAUGCACGAAAGCGUGGGUAUCAAACAGGAUUAGAUACCCGGGUAGUC